rnacentral:sRNA from 1 species
CUGGAGGGAGGAGCUCCCUGGGGUUUUACUCUAAAAGGUGGCCUGGAGCACGGAGAACCAUUAAUCAUCUCUAAGGUCGAAGAAGGGGGCAAAGCAGACACCCUGAGCUCCAAACUACAGGCUGGGGAUGAGGUUGUGCACAUCAAUGAGGUGACUCUGAGCAGCUCCAGAAAGGAGGCAGUUUCCCUGGUGAAAGGAUCCUACAAGACCCUCAGGCUGGUAGUGCGCAGUUGAACUUUCAAUGGAAAAGGAGGCUGCCUUUACAUCUGACACAUGCUUAUAGAUGGGGAUUAUCAACACGCCUCUGGAGACAUGGAUGGACAUUCCUCCCCUACCUUGCAGAGAUCCGGGUAGAAGCCUCUUUGCUCUGGAUUAAUCUGGCUUUGUAUUUCGUAGUGCUGUCACUUUCCUGAGAAGUCUUACCUUUAUACCUUGGCACACGUCAUCGUCCUGAGAUUCUGUUUCCUUUGAUUUAUUGAGCCAGAGUGACUAAGGACAUUUCAUUUAUUAACUUUCUUUUUUUCUAUGUGAUCUCUACACUUUAAAAAAGACUGGGGUGACUUCCUGGAAACAUAAUAGGAAGGAGUGUCUGUUUCAUGAAUAAAUCAUUUGUGUAGUCAAAAUGUA